rnacentral:rRNA from 1 species
UGGCUCAGGAUGAACGCUGGCGGCGUGCCUAAUACAUGCAAGUCGGACGAGGCCCUUUGUAUUCGUACGAAGGUGUCCUAGUGGCGAACGGGUGAGUAACACGUAGGUGACCUGUCCCGAAGAAGGGGAUAACCCCGGGAAACUGGGGCUAAUACCCUAUGCCCUUCAUGGUGUUAGAGUACCAUGAUGGAAAGGGAGCAAUCCGCUUUGGGAGGGGCCUGCGGUCCAUCAGCUAGUUGGUAGGGUAAUGGCCUACCAAGGCUAUGACGGAUAGGGGACCUGAGAGGGUGGUCCCCCACACUGGCACUGAAACACGGGCCAGACACCUACGGGUGGCAGCAGUAGGGAAUAUUGCACAAUGGACGAAAGUCUGAUGCAGCAACGCCGCGUGCGCGAUGAAGGCCUUCGGGUUGUAAAGCGCUUUUCUGAGGGAAGAGGAAGGACGGUACCUCAGGAAUAAGUCUCGGCUAACUACGUGCCAGCAGCCGCGGUAAAACGUAGGAGGCGAGUGUUAUCCGGAUUUACUGGGCGUAAAGCGCGUGCAGGCGGUUUGGUAAGUCGGACGUGAAAGCUCCUGGCUCAACUGGGAGAAGCCGUUCGAAACUACUAGACUAGAGGGCAGUAGAGGGAGAUGGAAUUCCGGGUGUAGCGGUGAAAUGCGUAGAUAUCCGGAGGAACACCAGUGGCGAAGGCGGUCUCCUGGACUGACCCUGACGCUCAGACGCGAAAGCUANGGGAGCGAACGGGAUUAGACACCCCGGUAGUCCUAGCUGUAAACGAUGCAGACUUGGUGUUGGUUGUUUAAACACAAUCAGUGCCGUAGCUAACGCGAUAAGUCUGNC